rnacentral:rRNA from 1 species
UACAGAGGUCUCAAGCGUUGUUCGGAUUCAUUGGGCGUAAAGGGUGCGUAGGUGGCGCUGUAAGUCAGGUGUGAAAUUUCGGAGCUUAACUCCGAAACUGCAUUUGAUACUGCGGUGCUUGAGGACUGGAGAGGAGAUUGGAAUUCACGGUGUAGCAGUGAAAUGCGUAGAUAUCGUGAGGAAGACCAGUGGCGAAGGCGGAUCUCUGGACAGUUCCUGACACUGAG